rnacentral:sRNA from 1 species
UCCCCCUAUCCCAGAUAAGAAGAAUUGCCUUCUUUCCUCCCAGCUGAUUUGCUUUUCUCGUCAUUAUAUGGCAAACCAGGCUGCACUCCCCUCCUAAGGCAGGCGGUGGUUCGCUUUGGGCUCUGAGUCCUCAGUGUUCUGCCUCUUCGGGUGCCAACCAGGAAAGCCGCCUUCCGCUUUUAGAGCAACGUGAAGAAAUCAUGGCAGCCCACGAUUUGCGCAAGCAGGUAGCGCCGCUGCUGAAGAGUUUCCAAGGAGAGAUUGAUGCACUGAGUAAAAGAAGCAAGGAAGCUGAAGCAGCUUUCUUGAAUGUCUACAAAAGAUUGAUUGACGUCCCAGAUCCCGUACCAGCUUUGGAUCUCGGACAGCAACUCCAGCUCAAAGUGCAGCGCCUGCACGAUAUUGAAACAGAGAACCAGAAACUUAGGGAAACUCUGGAAGAAUACAACAAGGAAUUUGCUGAAGUGAAAAAUCAAGAGGUUACGAUAAAAGCACUUAAAGAGAAAAUCCGAGAAUAUGAACAGACACUGAAGAACCAAGCCGAAACCAUAGCUCUUGAGAAGGAACAGAAGUUACAGAAUGACUUUGCAGAAAAGGAGAG